GCAUUAUAAUACAAACUUAAAAUAUAUACAUCGAUAUUUCGUGAAACUUCUCAAAUAGCUAUGCAACUUAUCCAUCAAUCCGUAAUCUAUAGAUCUCUUUCCUUAUUAUUGAUUUGUUUUCUUUCUUUUUGUAUAGUUUUUUCUUGCUCGAACCUACUUCGUAAUAUACUGUGCAACGAAACUGGCAAGUAAUUCGAAUAAAUAUUUUUUUUAUUUUAAUUAACCGCCGCCAGAAUUCUAACCACGGCCGAUUUGUUGUAUUUUGGUAAAAGCGCCCAUAAUAUGGAGAAUCGGAUGCGAGCUCGUUUUUUAUUUAAUCGGUUCGUCCUUUGACAUGGACUGAAUCGUUCGUAUUUUAAUAUUUUUUUCUCGUUCGUUGGUAACAUUCUCGUCGACGAAACGACAGGCACUGAUUGCGAGUGUCGAAGUUAUUAAUCUGGAUCGAUUAUUAUUUACAUCGAUCGUUCGAAGGACGAUCGUUUACUGCAGCGUUGUUCACGAUAAAGUUUCUUAGCUUACGAAGCUUCUUUCACUCUAUUUCUAGUUACUAUUCCUACCCACAGAUGGACAAAAUUUUGAAAAGAGGCAAAGGCCGCCAUAGAGGCAGUCAUCUAAAGAGAUACAGAUUAAACGACAUGGAAAAUUGGUAUGGUACGCGACGCAAAUCUAUUGUUAUUACAAUCCGGCUGACGAUACGUGUAUUCUGCAAGUUGCAUUUAGCAAGGGAAAACGAAAUUAGGUAUAAAGGAAGUUUAACCUCGAUCGCGUGUUAGGAAAACGCAUCCUGUUACGUAGGCCCUUUUAGGAUAGAACUGGCUCGGGAUAAUCUCAAGGUUGCUUAUAUGAUUCGAAGAAAAAACAGAUGUCUUCGCGCCUCGAGUCGACAAGCAUUUUACAAAACAGAAACCUUAAACCUGUUAACUAAGGCGAAUAUAUGUAUACGAAGCAUCCACUUACAUUACAUAUGUAUGCACGAAUGCCAGUUGCUCGUCGCGUUGUACAUAUGUGCGCGUUCACACAAACAUAAUACGGCUGGCAGAAGGGGAAUAAAGCUGCGUAAGGGGAUCGAUGUACUCGUGAACAACACUGGUUUACCGUGAAACGUAAUUCGAAUAUGCUCGCGACUUCUUCUCUUUCUUUGGAUGGCUGAAUUGUUCGUUUUCGACGUCCCGUCACGGUAUACGCGACGAGGAAUGAAUUUUAGCAAAAAAGUUAUAGAUGCAGGGACACUUUUCGCGAUUAAUAUUCAUUCCUCGUCGCGUGAUACACGAAAAAAGAAUCGACGCAGCGGACAGAUUAAGAAUUCUUACGAUUAUUGGAGGACAAGCGGCAACGUUCACAUUUUCGUCAAGUUGGUGUAUUCAUUAUUGCCCAAGUGGGACGGAAGUCACGGAUGAUUUGGCACUCCUUGUUUCGUUUUCUAACGUCUGUGCGUUCUUUCUCCUCCACUUUUCCUUUGCGUGCCGUUUUUUUCGUUGAACCUCUCGUUUAAUAGCAUUUACUCAGAGAUGGGCAGAAUUUAAUAAAAAGUUCAACAGCGAUUUAUUUGACUAAACAGUUACUCGGAUAUACAUUCAUUCGAUUCGAUUAUAAUUUUUCUAUUCGUUAUUCAAAAUCUUUAGAUAGAUAAGAAUUUUGCCCAUCUCUGCAUUUAACCAGUAGACGUUCCAAGACGUUACCGGUUCUACUACGUUCAAAAUGCUUCUUCCUUAAGAACCAACAUACGAUACUUCGGUUCUUCGAUUCGAUUGAAUGUUAACGAAAGCAUGAAACGAUUUUCGAACGUAGACUCGAGCAGGUUAAAAACGACGGAAUUCGAUCGAUUGGUGGCGACAACGGGAUACACACCGUGCACGAAGAGCACGAUAAAAAUGUAACGGAAAGGAGCAGGCGUGGAAUGAAAAUUCGUUUUCCACGCGUUUAAACGCGAUCGUGGGACCCGAUCCGAUUCUCCAUUGGCAUGGCCCGCCCCGAAUCACGUGUAUACGUUUUUCCCUUAUGCACAACCCACAUCAGUAUUGUUACUCGUUACUGUAAAUCGUAAGUGUAAAUUGAAUUUUUUUUUUUUUGUUUUUUGUCCACGCUUAAAAUACAUUUUAUACAUACUCCAUCUACGCUCUCGCAUAUAGUCGUCGCCAUAUAAUCGUCGUUCGUAUCAAUAAAUCGUCAAGCGGUAGUCGUCACCGAAAAAAAGAAAACACAAUGUAUCGUAUAUGUAUAUCGUAGGUUGUUCGUAGUAAAAUCAAUCAAUCGGCAUAUAAACUCGCUCUCUUUCUCUCCGCUCGUAAGAGAGCGUCUCGAACUCAUCCUUCUCUUUUAUCACGCUCGUGUGAAUCAUAACCUCGUCGCUCGUCGUUCUUUCUUUUUCUUUCUCGUCGUGUUAUAUGUGAUUAUUCUUUCUUUUAUUUCUUCGCUCGAUACUUUCACGUAAUGUAUUUUAAAACCACGUACGUCUUUUUUAUUUUUCUCUCUCUCCACAUAAAAACAGAAGCACGCGGGGAGACGGCCGGAAGCGCGCGUGAAACAGAAUCGUAUCAAGGAAGCGGAGGAAGUUGUUUUGCGCAAUAACGUUUCCCGGUUCUGUGUGCACCUCGCACCCGAUAACAACAAACCGGAGAGUCCACCGCAGAAAAGGGAUCUCUUUUUUAUAUUCGUGUUUCGUUUUACGUACUGCGUCGAACGUAACUAUCAGCACAGAGCUGUUCGCGAAACGAAACUAAUUGUAGAAACUAUUUGACACACAACUGAAAUCUGAAUACAAUUCGUUUUAUGUUCAAAACCUAAAAGAAAAAAAAUAUGUUUCCUUAAUAAAUGCACAGAUAUCUCGCAAUAACGAUAUAUCCGUUUCCUCUUUUUUUUUUUAAAUUAGAUUCGAAUGGGAAGCGAUAAAUCUAUAUUAUAGUAAAAAUAAAAUGGUUGUAAUAAUUCCUUUCGUAUCUACGAUUAGUUUUAUCCGCGAAUCAUUUUGUUUCAUCGCUUAUGUUUGGCGCCGUGUAUCGUACUCGUCGACGACUCAAGAAUAUCGUACCAGGCACCGUUUUUAUGUUGCUUGGUCCGCGCGAGAGAUCACUUUUCUCCAGUGUAUGCACACCCAGCUUCAUGGAUACAUACUGCACAGAAGUAAUAUGUUUUCCCUUUUCCAGUCUUUCGCAGAGCCAAGAUGUUCCAUUGUGUCGGAUGACAUCAAGAAAUGUAUGAAGAGGGGGAAGACAUAGUCUCCUCAAGCGGCAUAAAUCCGUGUUACCUACUGUACAUACAACACCGACAUGCUACGCGAUGACAUCCGUGGGGAAUGCCCGUAGAUUCGAAAAACGGAGGUACGAAAACGCGUAUUUUUUUAAAUAUUACGACGAGCACGCGAUCACUGUGCCGUUUACACGUAAUUAUCUCGAUGACAGUAAAAAACAUUGUCUCAGCAUCGGGACCGAAAUUUUAGUGGAAUGUUUUUCUUCUCAUGCACGCCCAAGAAAUAUUAUGAAAAUUGAAAUUUUAUUCGAACAAACGACGAAUGAGAACAAUGUAAAUAUCCUCGUCCGUUUAUUAAAUAAGUUAACGUAAACAGCUUUUCGAGUUUUUGAACGAUUAUAUUGUUAUGUAUGUCCGUGAACGAGGCCACUUACUUCGGACCAAUUCUAUAUUUACUCGUGACGAUUACUCGACCGAAUAAUUAUUUGAUAUAUAUGUACCUACAAUUUAUAAUUAGAAUUCAAAUGGCCAAAAUUAGGGACGAAACGAAUACUGUGUAUUUAUAAUAGCAUUUUUACCGACUUAAAAUUGGAACUUUUAAUGUCGUGAGUGGCUUCCCCGUUACAGUCACGCGAUCCUCCGAUUAUUUCGAACAACGUGUCUCCUUCGCUUACGAAAAUUAUUACAUCGUACACGCCCACGUACGCAACAGUCGUGUUUGUGCUAGCUAGACGUUUGUACUGUUUGGAUAGAACACCUGCUUGCACUAUCCGAAUGAUAUGAUUGCACGAACAUCGCGCUACUCGAUUUACAUGUUCCCUUUGCUUACGCAGUGCAAACAUACGCGCUUAAGCAAUCCAAAUAACAGAUAUAUUCGUUCUCGCUGUUUCAUCGUACGCGAGCUUGUACUUUGUGAAUUUCAAUUGGUUUAAAGGUCCGCUUACGAGUCUUCGAUGCCGAAUACACUGUCAGCCACGUUGAUAAAAUUCGAUCGGAAAAGUUCUUUUUCUUUUUUCUUUUUUUUUUUACGUAAAACGUUUAUUUCUUAUGCACUCGUCGUUUGGAUCCAAGGAUCAUUCCCCCAGGACUAUCGAUCGCGCGUUAUCACUUUUUGCGAAGACGCAAUUUGUCUCGAACCGCAACAUUGCACGUCCCAGUGUAAACUCUAGGAUAAUGCAAUCGAAAGAUUAACAUACUUAAUAACAUUAAUAAUAAUAAUAAUAAUAAUAAUAAUAAUAAUAAUAAUAAUAAUAAUAAUAAUUAGGUAAUUGUAAUAAUAGUAAUAAUUAUAUAAUAAUUGGCGGAAGAAGAAACGGGGGGAAAGAAACAGAAUGAGAAAAUGGAAUCAACAGAGAAAGGGAAGAAAAAAAAAGAAGAAGAAACGUUUGUCCGUUCUUUCCCCCCCUCCCCUGUAUAUCUCAUGGUAUCCCAAAGUCGGAAAGAGGCAUACGAAUUUCUCUUUCCUAUCAUCGCGAAAUCAUCGAUGUGUGUUCCCUCCGUCGUCGAUAAUGUUCCACGCGUUCGUUCAUCAGUGCUCUCCAUUCUCGCCAACAAUAUUUAAAUUCCUCUCUUUUAUCCACAUUCUUUGCCAUUUGUAUAUACUUUAAUUAGUGAAUAUAAUAUACAUAUAUAUAUUUAUAUAUUUAUAUUUAUAUAUAUAUGCAUAGGUAAUAAUUGCAAAUACAACUAUGUAAUGAAUAUACGAGCCUUUGUCAGGGGGAGCAAUGCAGUCGUCGUCAAUAAAAAGAGUCACGGUUUACAUUAUAUACCUAUGUACGAACGGAUCCUCUCCCGUGGGACCGUUCCUACCGCUCUGCGUAUGUACUUUCCGUACGUGUACGAGUGUGUAUUGUUGCGGUACCCUCUUCUCGCUCGUUCGUCCGUCGGGUCGCCGCGAGUGCGACACGAAGGACGGAAAGAAAAGUAGCGGAAGGGAAAAGGGGGGAAAGCAACGCGUUUUUGUUCCUUCCACCGUCGUCGUUGUUCCACCCUUUUCUCUUCCUUCUAAGAGGCAACGCGGAAAGGGAUCACCGUACGGGACCUCCGAAGGACAAGGUUGUCUCUCGAAGGACGAAAUGUUUUCCAGGCGCUCGCAAACGCAUUCGCACGUAUCGCAUUAAGUCACGAUUUUAAUUAAAUUCAGUCGUUCAAGUACGCGAGGCGAUAUACACACAUUUAACAAGCGCUUCAGAGAACGUAAACGUUUCCCGUGUUUCCUCGAUAGUACGCAGCCAGAGACCGGCCUCGUAAUCGUGCACGAGGGCAGAAGGCAAUAAUCAUCUCGACGGAAUCGGUUUUAUCGGCACGUCGGUCGUCCCGAUCACGCGACCGGUCCCCUCUUUCGUUUACCUUUUUAUUUUAUUUAUUUAUUUUUUUGUUCUUUUUCGCUUUUAUCAUUCGUUACGAGCUAACCCUUAGUUUGAUAUGGGCGAUAGAAAUCAUGCCUUCCUCGUUCUUCUUCGUCCUCCUCGUCUUCGCCGUUUUCGUUUUUGCCGCCGCGAGUUGUUAUUAUCGUUACGCGUUUUCUGUACUCUUUCUCUUUCUCGCGUAGCGCGAAGCUUCGUUUCUCUUUUUCUUUCCUACGACGCUCGAGCACCUUCAACCGCAAGCUUCUCGGGUGAAAAGAGAUUUUUGUGAUCGAGCGUUCCUCGAUGACCUCGAUGCGGGAGGGUCGAACACGAAUCUACGAGAGAACCUCAAUUGGUUGUAAGAUCAUUAUCGGCAACGCCGUGGGUCUCUGAUAAUGCAAUUUGUUGUGAGAAAAUGAUCGUUCGAUAGCCCCCGUCUGGUCAUCGUGGAAGUCGCACGAUGCACUCGAGCGAAGUUUGAACUCACUCGGUGCUUAUGAUGUACCAUUAACUCUAUUUGUUAUGUAGAAAAAAAUCACAAUCCGUUCGCGAUUAAAUAUCUUCGAAUACCGAACGUAUGACCUUUUUAUUCGACACACGUGUUAAUUCUUGAAUUCUACAUCCGACGAUUACGCAACUACGUUUUACGUUUCUCGCUCGCAGGAUCGAUUUAUACGUGCCGAGAGGUUAGUUUGCACGACGCGAAAGUAUAAUUAACUAAAUGUUAGAAUCGACGUUGUUCCGAUUGUUACAAUUAUGUACCUUUUGUUUUUGUUUCGGCGUGCGCGCAAAUCGUACAUUUUUUCCCACAAUUUCUAUCGAUAUCCAGAGUACUUGUACGAACACCUACGACGAUCUUUCUUUACCAGUGUUCCGUUCGUAAC